GAGAUCUACAGCCUUUCCAGCCUCCGCGCUCGUUCGGAGUCUGUUACGCUGUGCUGCGGGUUCCGGGACGAUGGGUGGCCCGGGACAACGGGUGGCCUGGGCCUCACGGCGGCCUGGCCUCCGAUGGUCGGGGUGCCCGGCAGGGGCGCGUGGCUGAAUGGUGCCCGGCACGGCCGGGCCCGGUCCGAGGGUCCCGGUCCCUGAAUGCAUGGAGGGCGGUGGACUGGUCUGGCCCCGCGCCACGUUGUUCGUGGAACCUCAGGCGGCCCCGGCCUGCGUUCCCACGCCGGCAGAUCGGGCAGUGGGGUUGAGGACAUUUAUUGGUCAUCGGCUGCAUGUCAGGGGCUUUUUAAUAGAAGUGAGAAUUUCUUGCAUGUGAAAGGGAGGGCCUCACCGUAUAACUGCACCUAUGCCUACCGUGUCAGUGUGACAUCGGGUCAACGCAGAAGUAAAGUGCCAUUUAAGGUUUAGAUUUGACAACCGUCUCAGGGUGCAGAACUUGGCGGCAAUCUAAUAUCACCAACUUUGCAGGUGAAAAUGGAUGCUUGAAGCAGACUGCUGCUAGCUGAAUACUUAACUAUCUGGAAGCACAAAGAUGGCCUAAGGAUGUCCUUGGUGAGGAAUUUGAAAACUUGAUCUUCAGGAGCUGCUUAGAUUAUUUAAAAUUUCCAGGAAUGAUAAAAUUACUGUUUUGGACAGUCCAUAAGUGUAUAUAUAAAACAGUGGGGCCAUAAAUAAAAGAAAUUUAGUGUGCUUCUUGAAGGCAGCGGUCCACCCAGAGUUGGUAAGAACCUUCUCAUCCCACUUGGUGUGCUACUGCACAGCUAGCCAGCUGCAGUCCAGGAACUUGAUGGAAGCGUCUGGUCUUGGUUGUGGUAGACACAGAUACUUGGAGUUUCCAGGAAGGAAAACAUGGCAUC